rnacentral:lncRNA from 1 species
UCCCUUCCGAAAACGCGGUCGAGAAUUAUGAUGACGAGGAGGAAGAACGCAUUCUCCAAGAGCGCGUCGACCAGAACCCGAAUAGUAUCGAGGACCUGAACAACUUAUUGUUAUUUAAAGCAAGGCAUGAAAAGUUUCGCGAUGCUAUUUCGAUCGUCGAACGAUUGGAGAUACUUACCUCACACAUUUCCCCAGAAGACACACAACUUCUUGUGCUUAAGCUUCACUUUCUGAUAAGCGCUGGAGAGCUGGAGAAAGCAAAGAGCGGGUUUGAGGAGAUUUUGGCAAACGACCCAUUUUACGUGGAUGCUUACCAUGGAUUGCUAACUGUCAUCAGGGCGUCCGAUGAUCUCGAGAAAAUAAAAGUGGAGACUGACAUAUUGGUGGAACGGAUUAAGAUAAUAGCGGAGAG